GAUGAACGCUGGCGGCAUGCCUAACACAUGCAAGUCGAUCGGUAAGGCUCUUCGGAGUACACGAGAGGCGGACGGCUGAGUAACGCGUAGGAACACACCCUGCAGUGAGGGAUAAGACACCGAAAGGUGUUCUAAUACCGCAUACGGUCUUCGGAUUAAAGCAUUUAUGCGCUGAAGGAGUGGCCUGCGUCAUAUUAGAUAGUUGGUGAGGUAAUGGCUCACCAAGUCGAUGAUGUGUAGCUGGUCUGAGAGGAUGAUCAGCCAGACUGGAACUGAGACACGGUCCAGACUCCUACGGGAGGCAGCAGUGAGGAAUAUUUCACAAUGAGCGAAGGCUUGAUGGAGCAAUGCCGCGUGCAGGAUGAAGGCCCUCGGGUUGUAAACUGCUUUUAUAAGAGAAGAUUAUGACGGUAACUUAUGAAUAAGGGACGGCUAACUACGU
rnacentral:rRNA from 1 species